rnacentral:rRNA from 1 species
CCUACGGGAGGCAGCAGUGGGGAAUAUUGCACAAUGGGGGAAACCCUGAUGCAGCGACGCCGCGUGAGUGAAGAAGGAUCUCGGUACGUAAAGCUCUAUCAGCAGGGAAGAAAAUGACGGUACCUGACUAAGAAUCCCCGGCUAACUCCGUGCCAGCCGCCGCGGUAAUACGUAGGGGGCAAGCGUUAUCCGGAUUGACUGGGGGUAAAGGGAGCGUAGACGGCAGCACAAGUCUGGAGUGAAAUCCCGGGGCUUAACCCCGGAACUGCUUUGGAAACUGUGCGGCUGGAGUGCAGGAGGGGUAAGCGGAAUGCCUAGUGUAGCGGUGAAAUGCGUAGAUAUUAGGAGGAACACCGGUGGCGAAGGCGGUUUACUGGACUGUAACUGACGUUGAGGCUCGAAAGCGUGGGGAGCAAACAGGAUUAGAUACCCGAGUAGUC